AUUGAACGCUGGCGGCAGGCUUAACAAAUGCAAGUCGAGCGAGCGGCGGACGGGUGAGUAAUGUCUGGGAAACUGCCUGAUGGAGGGGGAUAAAUACUGGAAACGGUGGCUAAUACCGCAUACUAUCGGAUGAACCCAUCUGGGAUUAGCGAGUAGGUGGGGUAAAUGCUCACCUAGGCGACGAUCUCUAUCUGGUCUGAGAGGAUGACCAGCCACACGGGGACUGAGACACUGCCCAGACUCCUACGUGAGGCAGCAGUGGGGAAUAUUGCACAAUGGGCGCAAGCCUGAUGCAGCCAUGCCGCGUGUAUGAAGAAGGUCUUAGGGUUGUAAAGUACUUUCAGCGGGGAGGCGUUACCCGCAGAAGAAGCACCGGCUAACUCCGUGCCAGCAGCCGCGGUAAUUC
rnacentral:rRNA from 1 species